rnacentral:tRNA from 1 species
AUAACCUUAAGAUAUGUAAUCUUUAUGUCUUUUAAACAUAAAAAGCUUUUUGCAGGUUUUC